rnacentral:rRNA from 1 species
GCGGAGGAAAAGAAACUAACAAGGAUUCCCCUAGUAACGGCGAGUGAAGAGGGAAGAGCUCAAAUUUUAAAUCUGCCUUGUUCCAAGGUCGAGUUGUAAUUUGAAGAAGCGUUUUCUUGGGCUCGCGGCCGGUAGAAGUUCUUUGGAACAGGACAUCAUAGAGGGUGACAAUCCCGUCCGUGACCGGUCGUGCGUUCAUCUACGAUACGCUUUCAAAGAGUCGAGUUGUUUGGGAUUGCAGCUCCAAACGGGUGGUAAACAUCACCUAAGGCUAAAUAUUGGCGAGAGACCGAUAGCGAACAAGUACCGUGAGGGAAAGAUGAAAAGAACUUUGAAAAGAGAGUUAAACAGUACGUGAAAUUGUUGAAAGGGAAACGAUUGAAGUCAGUCGUGCUGGCGCGAAAUCAACCCUCUCGUCUUGAGAUCACAUGGCGCGACGAGCCUCAAAACCGUCACGAAGCGUGAACUCUUGACGAAAAGGUGCACUUUCGUGUCCGCUGGUUAACAUCAAUUUCGAACGUCAUAAAAAGGCUGGAGGGAUGUGGCUCCUUCGGGAGUGUUAUAACCUUUAGCGGAAUGUGGCGUUCGGGAUUGAGGAUUGCAACGAAUACCUUCAGGGCUGUUCCACCUGGCUUCUCAUUGGUAUCCUGGUGACGACAGCUUGCUGACGUCGUUAGGAUCAGCUUCUGAACAGGCUAGAGUGUGAGCAAAUUCGUUAAGGAUGUUAACGUAAUGGCUUUAAACGACCCGUCUUG